CUUGGCAGAAAUGUUAUAUGUAAAAUAGGCAGCUAGCUCUCUGCAACUCUCACAUGGUCGCCCACUGAAGCUAAGCCCGGUCAGUACCUGGAUGGGAGACCACAUGGGAAAGCUAGGUUGCUGCCAGAA
rnacentral:rRNA from 1 species